CUGCUGUGUUCCACCAACAUUUUGUGUGUGUUAUUGUUUGAAUUUCCAGCAUCUGCAGAGUUCCUCAUGUUUGCUCCAAGAAUUGGCACUGCUGCUUCCAGAACAGCAACAAUGACAAGUCUCAAAUGUCUGACUCCCAUUUGUUGGCUCAUGAUUUGAGCAAUAUUAAUGAGCAGGUUUUAACAAGGAUGUCAAAAUUACACAACUAGAUACAAUUCAGUGCUUCGUUUUAAAUGUAAUACAAUGAAUUAUGCACUUAUUGCUGGCUGGCAAUACCAUUUCACCCAACAACCUGAAAAAUCUAAUUAUGUAAGCACAACUCAGAUAAAAAUAUGGUCCAACUUUCACCGCUUUUGAGUCAAAUUUACAGGUAUACGUGUAAAUGAUAUGUUAGUUAUACAGGAUACACCGUAUAAUAAGCUACAAAUUUAUAGCUUAUUAAAUGGCAAGAAGUUGCACCAUCUUUAAAUUCCCAAAUUUUAUGCUGAGUGAUGUUGAGAAUCAGCUUAAUUAUUGUUAUUAUCUAAAUGUUAGUAAACAGUUCCUACAGAUUGCAAGACUAUAUGGUGUAUCCUGUAUAACUAGACGGUAACAAGAUGAUAUACAGGAGCCAGAUAGAUCAGCUGGUUGAAUGGUGUCACAGCAACAACCUUACACUCAACAUCAAUAAGACCAGAGAGCUGAUGGUGAGCUUCAGAAAGGGUAAGAUGAGGGAAUACAUAACAGUCAUCAUAAAGAGUGAGUAAUUUCAGGUUCCUGGGGGUCAACAUCGCUGAGGAUCUAUUCUGGGCCCAAUAUAUCAAUGCAGUUACAAAGGAAGCACGAGUGGCUAUAUUUCAUUAGGAGUUUGAGGAGAUUUGAUAUGUCAAGGACACUCACAAAUUUCUACAGAUGUAGUGUGGAGAGUAUACUAAUUAGCAGCAUCACUGUCUGAUAUUUGGGAGGGGGCCAUGGCACAAGGUCAAAAUAAGCUGCAGAAACUUAUAAACUCAGUCAGCUCCAUCAUGGGCACUGCCCUCCUUAGCAUCUGGAACAUCUUCAAGGAGCGAUGCCUCAAAAAGGUGGCAUAGAUCAUUAAGGAUCCCCAACACCCAGGAAAUGCCCUCUUCUCAUUACGACCAAAGAGGUGGUAUAGCAGCCUGAAGGCACACACUGAAUGAUUCAGGAAUAACUUCUUCCUCUUGGCCAUCUGAUGUUUGAUGGAACAAUGAACCCAUGAACACUACGACAUUACAUUUUUUCUCUUUUAGCGCUAUUUAAUUUCAAAUAUAUAUACCUACUCUAAUUUAGUUUAUGUAUUGCAAUAUAAUGCUGCCCUACAACAAAUUUCACAACAUAUGCCAGUGAUAUUAAACCUGAUUCUGAACUAUGUUGAAAAAUUGAUACAGCAGAAAGUAGUUAAAUUAUGUGUUGCAAACAGCAUAAGUUGGUUGACAAGCUUUGAUUUGGAAAUACACUGGAUUCCAUUUAAUUGCAUCAUUGGUUAAUUGGGGCAGCCACUGAUUUGGGACACUGUGCAACUUAAUUGGGACAGGACACUGUUGCUAAGCAAUUUCUAACUAGCGUUAGUCACAUGCACUAGUAUGGCCAUUAAGACACUACAUUGUGCUUAGAGCAAAGUUUUUAAAAUAGCAUUACUUGCAAGUGUUUGUGUUCAAAAAGCAGUGAUUUUUGUCACCGAUUGUUGGCUUUUUAAUUAUAAAAACUGUCCCGCACAGAUUUCUGUCAUCAUAGGAAACGAUGGACAACCAGUCAGUAAUGUUCUAAUUUGUCCUGUUUCAUUUAAAUACAAAAUUUGUAACUCAAUUAAACAGUAGUUUGUCUUUUUUUAAAUACCUUUUUAACUACUUUCAUGAAAUUUUGGCUAAAUGGGCAGCCAUUUAAUGGGACCAAAAUGUACAGGUCCCAAUGUGUCCCCAUUAUCCAGAAUCCACUGUAAUACCAAAUGAAAUACAGCUAUCUAGUGAAUUAUUUAAUCAGUUUUAGUUCUAGUAUGUUAAUUUACUCUUCUGCACAUAACUCAAAGGCACAAAAAUGUUAAGAGUCGGAAAUCCAGAGGCACAAAACACAAAAAAAGCAAAGUUGAAAUUGUCAAGACAUCACAUUGCAUAUAUUUUUGGCAUCCCACUGAAAAUAAGUAAAAAGAGAUUGUAGUUUUGAUUCACAAAGGUGCUACUGGAGAGGAAGAUGCAACUAUGAAGGACAAGGUGAUGUGGAUUCCUCUUACCAUGAAGAUUUGGAUAGUUAUUUGAAAAAUGUUACCGGAUUGAACUGAGUGUGAUGGGUCAAGAUGGCAGACACAGAAACUCUUGAACAAAUCAGAACAGACUGGUUUGGUAGUAGGCAUUUCUGUAAUUGAUCGUUAGCCGUUAAGAUUGUCUUUUUUAUAUAUAAACUCAUCCCACAUGCUCUUUGCUACAAUUCAUGUAUGCCCCAACCCUGCAACACCCCUCCAACCCAUUUCCCCAAGCACCAAGCUCUAGUCCUCCUUGCCAUAUUUAACCUUGAAUUCAAGCAAUAGCAAGAACAAGUCUAAAUGCAUUACACAAUCAAACAAAUCAGGUUUCAUUUUCACACUCCCAAUUUCAAUUAUUUGUGUUAUUCAGCAUAAAUCUGCACCUUUUCACAAUCUCUUGUUUAAAAAUGACUUUUUUUAAAACUAUUUCCCCAUUCUAAAUGAAGCAAAGGCUAACAAAUUAAAAUAUAAUCUUAAUAUUUAGUCCUCAAUUUGAAUGCAAAUAUAAGGAGAGGAAAAGAUGAAAUUUGAAGGUAAGCUAGCCAAUAAUACCAAAGAGAAUACCAAAAGUGCUUUCAGAUAUAUAGAGUAAAAGAGAGGUGAAAGUGGAUAUUGGGUCCCUGGAAAAUGACACUGAAGAGGUAGUAAUGGGGAAGAAAUGGUCAAUGAACUUAAUAAAUAUUUUCUGUUAAUCUUCAAUGUGGAAGAUAAACAGCAUUCCAGAAAUUUGAGAGUGUCAGGGGGCAGAAGUGAGUGUAGUUGCCUUUAUUAAGCAGAAGCUGCUUGGGAAGCUGAAAGAUCUGAACACAGAUAAGUCAUCUGGACCAGAUGGACUCCACCUCAGGGUUCUGAAAGAGAGUUAAACAAUCCAAGUUCACUUAUUUGGAGCACAGGAGAAAACGGUGCUUAUGGGAUGUAUUCCAGCAGGGUCAACUCUUUCAGAAAAGGAAAACGAUGCCAGGACUCUCAUAUAGAGUCUUUUAUGAAUUCAGGAUAUCCCAAAGUAUUUCUACAGCAGGAGAAACUUUAAGUGCAGUUGAAGUGAUAAUGGAAAGAAAAUGAUUUGCACACUGGAAUGACCAACAAACAUGAAGACAAAAGAUCAGGCCCCACCAAGUUUCAAAGUAGGAGAACUGUUCCCUGCCAAUACAAGUUCCCCUUUUGAAGUGGACUUCAGUGGACACAAUAUGGAAUUAGAAACAAACUGAUGAUCUGAUAUUUGGAAUACAAUCCAACUCAACACCUGCAGGCUUUAGACUACAAGAGCACCAGAGUUCACAGAGAUUUACAGCAGAGAUACCAGGAAUUCUCAAAGAACUGCAAACACAGGUCUGUAUAUCACCUAGAUGCCUUCCUUAAAGUAUAGAAGACACAUACAAUGAGUAUUCUCUACCUGAUGAGCUGAACAUCCUUUAUGUACACUUUGAAAGGGAGAAUAAACCUACACCUGUGCAAAUUCAUGCAUUUUAAUUUAUUAUUUGUUUAUGCACUAUUUAAUAUAGGUAUUUACUUACUGUAAUUGAUUUACAUUUUUUUCUAUAUUAUCAUUUAUUGCAUUAUACUGCUGCUGCAAAGUUAACAAA